AAUUUNUNANGGGAGGAAGUGGGCGGGUGACCGAAAACCNGGAGGAAGGGUGGGGGAUAACGUUCAAUUCAUUCAUUGGCCCUUACGGCCUGGGGGUACCACACGGGNAACAAUGGUCGGUACCAGAGGGUUGCCCAAGCCCGCGAGGUGGAGCUAAUCCCAUUAAAACCGAUCGUAGUCCGGAUCGCCAGUCUGCAACUCGAACUGCGUGAAGUCGGGAAUCGCUAGUAAUCGCGAAUCAGAAUGUCGCGGUGAAUACGUUCCCGGGCCUUGUACCCACCGCCCGUGAAUACACUAGUGAAUUUCGCGACCGCC
rnacentral:rRNA from 1 species